GAUGAACGCUAGCGGCAGGCUUAAUACAUGCAAGUUGAGGGGCAGCAUGAUAUACGCGAGUAUAUUGAUGGCGACCGGCGGACGGGUGAGUAAUAGGUAGGAGACCUACCUCAUACAGGGGGAUAGCAUAGAGAAAUCUGUGGUAAUACCCCAUGAGGUUAUAUGAAUAGAGGCAUAUAAUCAAAGCAUAAGCGAUUAUGCGGUAUGAGAGGGGCCUACUGACCAUUAGCUAGUUGGUGAGGUAAGGGCUCACCAAGGCGAAGAUGGUUAGGGGUUUUGAGAGAGAGAUCCCCCACAUUGGAACUGAGAUACGGUCCAGACUCCUACGGGAGGCAGCAGUAGGGAAUAUUGGGCAAUGGGCGGAAGCCUGACCCAGCCAUGCCGCGUGAAGGAAGACGGCCUUAUGGGUUGUAAACUUUCUUUACUAUGCGACUAACUAGAUUUACGAGAUAAAUUCUAUAGAAUGUAGCAUAGCAAAAGCACC
rnacentral:rRNA from 1 species